UUUCCUACGGGGGGCAGCAGUGAGGAAUAUUGGUCAAUGGGCGCAAGCCUGAACCAGCCAAGUCGCGUGAGGGAUGACGGUCCUAUGGAUUGUAAACCUCUUUUGUCGGGGAGCAAGGCCCGCCACGUGUGGCGGGAAGGAGAGUACCCGAAGAAAAAGCAUCGGCUAACUCCGUGCCAGCAGCCGCGGUAAUACGGAGGAUGCGAGCGUUAUCCGGAUUUAUUGGGGUUAAAGGGUGCGUAGGCGGGAGGGUAAGGCAGCGGGCAAAUGUUGGUGCUCAACACC
rnacentral:rRNA from 1 species